GAUGAACGCUGGCGGCGUGCCUAAUACACGCAAGUCGAGCGAACAGACGAGGAGCUUGCUCCUCUGACGUUAGCGGCGGACGGGUGAGUAACACGUGGAUAACCUACCUAUAAGACUGGGAUAACUUCGGGAAACCGGAGCUAAUACCGGAUAAUAUAUUGAACCGCAGGGUUCAAUAGUGAAAGAGGGUUUUGGUGUCACUUAUAGAUGAAUCCGCGCCGGAUUAGCUAGUUGGUAAGGUAACGGCUUACCAAGGCGACGAUGCGUAGCCGAUCUGAGAGGGUGAUCAGCCACACUGGAACUGAGACACGGUCCAGACUCCUACGGGAGGCAGCAGUAGGGAAUAUUCCGCAAUGGGCGAAAGCUUGACGCAGCAACGCCGCGUGAGUGAUGAAGGUCUUCGGAUCGUAAAACCCUGUUAUUAGGGAAGAACAACUGUGUAAGUAACUAUGCACGUCUUGACGGUACCUAAUCAGAAAGCAACGGCUAACUACGUG
rnacentral:rRNA from 1 species